UUGCUACAUCAUAACAACCUACUUCCUUUUUUAAUAGAACUCCUGUUUCCAGUCACAUAAUUGAUGAAAAAGUGUAGAGCAAUAUCCCCUGUGUUUGCCUUGCUUUGCCUUCUCUCAUGUGAACCAAACACCUUGGUUUGUAAUGAGAAGUAGAAACAUGCCCUUCUCAGCUUCAAACAACUUCUCUCUGAUCCUGCAAACCAACUCUAAUUCUCAUCUCGAUCUGCUGAUCAGGAAGAUUGCUGUGGGUGGAUAGGAGUCCACUGCCAUAACAUCAGUGGUCAUGAAGUCACGGAGCUCCACCUCCACGGUUUUGGAUUGGGCGGCAAGGUUAGUCCUGCUCUGCUGCAACUAAAUUUUUUUAAUUACUUGGACUUGAGCUCCAUUGAGUUUGGAGGUGCUCCAGUUCCAAGUUUCUUGGGUUCCAUGCGGAGUUUAACAUACCUGAUGGACUAGUCCCCCCUCAGCUUGGAAAUCUUUCCGAUCUUCAUUACCUCAGUCUAGGGUUCCCAGAAUUAUACUGAUAUUCUUCAUGGCUUAUAUGUUUGAGGCCCUCAGUUGGAUUUCUCGUAUCUUCUUUGCAAAACCUAUCUAUGGUUGAAGUCGACCUUUACAGGGAAGUUCAUUCUUUUGAAUAUAUCUAUGCUAUCUUUACUUGUCCGAUUGUGAACUUGAUAGCAUGAGUCCGUCGCUCGGUGAACUCUUAUCCACCCACGGCAAUCUUCCUCUGCAGUCCAAGAUGAGAGUCAGUUGGUUUGCGGGGUCUGAGAGAGCUUGUUUGAAGCUAAGCAGGGCAUUUUUCUGCUUCUCAUUGCAAACCAAGGUGUUUGGUUCACGUGAGGAUAGGAAGCAAAGCAAGGGAACCACAAGGAAUAUUGCUCUACACUCUCUCAUCAUCAAUUAUGUGAUUGGAAACAGGACUACCAUUCAGAAAGGAAUUAAGUAGAGGUUCUUGGGAAGGAGGUUCAGAAGCCGAGGAGGGUUACUCUGAGUAGGUGGGACAAUUUCUAUCUCUCUACUGAUCAGGUGCAGUAUGCUUGUGUUGAUGCUUUUCUUUCCCCCGAGAUUGGGAAUUUGGGACGACCCUAAAUGCAUCUCUGUUAGAAAAAUUAUAGUGGGUUUUGCGGGGUUCUGCUAAUUUUUCGAGAUUUUCAAGGAGAAAUGAUGAUGGUUGUUAGAUGAUUUCUGGACUUUUUAGGCAUUCAAUGUUUGGGAUAUCCCUACAAUACAGUACCUAUUUGUGUGGAGAUUGUAUUAAUUUGCUUGCCUGUGUUUUCAUUUGUUAGAUGUUGAUGGGCGUAUAUAGUUUUUGUUUAUGUGGGCAAUACGAAUUUGGGGUAAUGAAGGAGAUGGAGGUCGGUGGGGAGGGGGCAGUUGCUGGUGGCUGGUGCUUGACACCUUUGAAAACCAUUUGGAGUACUUUUAUUGUGACCUCGAAUCAGGGAAAAUAACCACUCGCUUUCAAGUUAUUUACAAAUUGGGGGCAGUAGUAGAGUGGGAGAAGCUGGCUGUGGUGGUAGGUGGAGGCAUUUUAGCAGUAAUGGAGGUGAAGCUGGAUUUUAGGUUUCAAGCAGGGGAAACGCCAACGACGAAUAUCAAAGAAGUUUACUACUUCUAAAGGUCUGUCAAGACCCGGCGGUCAGACCGUAGAACGGACGCACCGUCCGAUUUUCUGGAAACCGGCCAACUUGUGGUUUCGGCCAAAUCCACCGUGGCCUUUUCUCCUCAUUCGGCCCAUACUCCCCCUGCUAACCGGCCCAUUACCCAGCCUUCUUUUUGCUUGUACCUGUAAGUGUAGGUAACCCGCAUGAAGAGGAUUUGAAAGUGGGUUGUACAACCAGUAUACUACACAAUCCUUUAAAUUAAUAUAUAGUUUACAUACUAUAUU